AUAAAAAUUCUUUAGAAAGAGAUUUCAUGCAUAUAUGGUGGACAUGUCCAGUCAUUAGAGAAUAUUGGGAUGCAAUUUGUAACCAAAUAUCACAAAUGGUUGGAUAUUCAUUUCCAAAUGGAUCCUUUGGUAAGCCUCCUGGGGCUUCUUAGGGGAAAUGGUCACACAAACAUUGGCACUGGAACU